rnacentral:rRNA from 1 species
AUGGAGGGAGUAGAACACUUGACACUGCAUAAAGCUGUAAACUCACCUUCCAUGCACGUCUGCAUUGCCACCGCUUGCACCUCCGGGCCCAUCUACAUUAUCACCACCUGCACCUGCAUCUUGUUCAGUUUGUUGUUUUUCAGUCUCCCUCUGCUCACGGUCUUCCAUGUCAGUCAAUUCCUUAUGGAAUAUUGCAAAAUUCAGAACUUGCAGUGCAGCCUCAACAUCAGUUUUAAGAACCUGCAACAAGAUACAUGUGAUGUCAUUAUAGUUUUUCAAGGAAAAAUAUCCUGUGCCUGCUAUCCUUCAAAAUAA